GGUUAGUUGAUCGAGAGCCGACUGAAACUGAAGAGAGCAGUCUAUUGACAGUCGGUUACUCGAAAUCUUUACUGUCAUGGAGGCGCUCUCUUCAGAUGAUGUCUGGCCCAUUUUUUAAUCAAUU
rnacentral:pre_miRNA from 15 species